AUUAAUAAUUAAAUUUUGUUUUUCCACUCGAUAUUUGUAUUUUGACAUUAUUUGUUUACAGUUUUAUCUAUUUUCAUAUGUGGGGGUACAAACUUUUGUUCUUUUUUACCUACACAAACACAAUGAUGAUGGAGGCAAAAAACAGUCCCAAGUAUUCCACAAUCAUAAUGAAUGCAAUCAAAAAAGCUAUUACAUACUGGAAGUGCAUCUUGUGAAUAGGAAAUCACAUCAUUAAAACCUGAAACACAAAUUAAAAAAAAAAUAAAAAAAAGAAAAAAAAAAGAUAAAUGUUAAGUCUCUUUCUUUCUUUCUCUCUCUCUCUCUCACACACACACACACGUGUGUAUAUAUAUAUAUAUAUAUAUNCAUACUAACUGAUGUAGAAGUGUUGUUUCAUAACAUGCAUAAACAUCUUUGAAUUUUACAUUUAUGAAAAAGGAAAGGAAGAGAAGGUAAAAAGAAAUUAAUUAGUAUUUUUCGGUUUUGAAGGGAAAAAAAAGAAUGAGAAACUUUUGUUUUCUACAUAUGAUUUUUAGGGGAGAAAACAUAUGCUUAGAUUCCCUAUUUUUCUUUUCAUUCCUUUAAAAGCUAAGUGCAUGUUUUCUCGUUUAAUCACUCUUACUUCUCUCUCUUUUUUAUUAAUAAUAAUAAUAAUAAAACUCAAGAGCAAGGUGAAAAUGAAUUUCAUAAACAUAGAAAGAGUUGUUCACCUAAAACAAAAAGCAAAAAGAUCACGAUGAAUGUUCUUUUCAUUCUCGAUUUAUGAUGAAUUCGAUAGAAAAAUCAAUGUGUGGUGGGUGUGCAAUUGUUU
rnacentral:lncRNA from 1 species